GAGGUCAGUUGUUAAAGUUAUUCACAGACUAGCAUCAUCGAGCCCCUGAUCUGCACUAGUCUUCACAUGAAUUUUUUUAUAGAGGCCAGAUGACUUUGUGUGGCUGUGAGUGACCUGAGGAAGAUCCUCUCUAACUAUUGGAUCAGAGAAGAUCAUGAUCAAAAUUUGUUUGGUAACGAUCUCUAACUUAUUUUGAUUCCUAUAGUAGAUCUAAUAGUUAGAUCUAGAAUUUUAGCAUCGAUG
rnacentral:lncRNA from 1 species